AGUUUGAUCCUGGCUCAGGACGAACGCUGACGGUGUGCUUUAGACAUGCAAGUCGAACGCGAAAGCCCUUCGGGGCGAGUAGAGUGGCGAACGGGUGAGUAACACGUGGGUAACCUGCCCCUCGCAGGGGGAUAACCGGGGGAAACCCCGGCUAAUACCCCGUACGCUUGUGGAGCCGCAUGGCUCCGCAAGGAAAGGUAGCUUCGGCCAUCCGGCGAGGGAUGGGCCCGCGGUCCAUUAGCUAGUUGGUGGGGUAACGGCUCACCAAGGCGACGAUGGAUAGCUGGUCUGAGAGGAUGAUCAGUCACACUGGGACUGAGACACGGCCCAGACUCCUACGGGAGGCAGCAGUCGGGAAUCUUGCGCAAUGGGCGAAAGCCUGACGCAGCAACACCGUGUGGGUGAGGAAGGCCUUCGGGUCGUAAAGCCCUGUUGUUGGGGACGAAGGGCGAAGGGUUAAUAGCCCCUAGCCUGACGGUACCCUUCGAGGAAGCCCCGGCUAACUACGUGCCAGCAGCCGCGGUAAUACGUAGGGGGCGAGCGUUGUCCGGAAUUAUUGGGCGUAAAGAGCGUGUAGGCGGUUCGGUAAGUCCGCCGUGAAAAUCCGAGGCUCAACCUCGGGCUUGCGGUGGAUACUGUCGGGCUAGAGGAUGGUAGAGGGGAGUGGAAUUCCCGGUGUAGCGGUGAAAUGCGCAGAUAUCGGGAGGAACACCAGUAGCGAAGGCGGCUCCCCGGGCCAUUCCUGACGCUGAGACGCGAAAGCUAGGGGAGCGAACAGGAUUAGAUACCCUGGUAGUCCUAGCCGUAAACGAUGAACACUAGG
rnacentral:rRNA from 1 species